rnacentral:rRNA from 1 species
GACGUAGGUGGCGAACGUUAUCCGGAAUUAUUGGGCGUAAGGGUAGGCGUAGGCGGCAUGAUAAGUUAUUGGCGGCAAAUCGAGGCUCAACCUCGUGGAAACUAAUAAUACUGUCUUGCUUGAGUGCAGAAGAGGUUAACGGAACUCCAUGUGGAGCGGUAAAAUGUGUAGAUAUAUGGAAGAACAUCAAUAACGGCGAAGGCAGUUAACUAUUCUGUUACUGACGUUGAGGCACGAAAGCGUGGGGGAGCAAAAAGG